rnacentral:rRNA from 1 species
UACGGAGGGUGCAAGCGUUUUUCGGAAUCACUGGGCGUAAAGCGCGUGUAGGCGGUCUGUUAAGUCUGAUGUGAAAGCCCGGGGCUCACCCCCGGAAGUGCAUUGGAAACUGCCAGACUGGAGUCCCGGAGAGGAGGGUGGAAUUCCUGGUGUAGCGGUGAAAUGCGUAGAUAUCAGGAGGAACACCGGUGGCGAAGGCGGCCCUCUGGACGGUGACUGACGCUGAGACGCGAAAGCGUGGGGAGCAAACAGG